rnacentral:rRNA from 1 species
UCGAGAAUCAUUCGCAAUGGGCGCAAGCCUGACGAUGCGACGCCGUGUGGACGAUGAAGGCCUUCGGGUUGUAAAGUCCUUUCGCCAGGGAACAAGAGAUAGUGACUAAUAAUCACUAGAUUUGAGGGUACCUGGUAAAGAAGCACCGGCUAACUCCGUGCCAGCAGCUGCGGUAAUACGGAGGGUGCAAGCAUUAAUCGGAUUUAUUGGGUGUAAAGAGCGCGUAGGCGGGUCAGCAAGUCAGAUGUGAAAUUCCGGACCUCAAUUCCGGAGCUGCAUUUGAAACUACUGAUCUUGAGGGUAGACGGAGAAAACGGAAUUCCACGUGUAGCGGUGAAAUGCGUAGAUAUGUGGAAGAACACCGGUGGCGAAGGCGGUUUUCUAGUUUAUUCCUGACGCUGAGGCGCGAGAGCAAGGGUAGCAAACAGG